rnacentral:lncRNA from 1 species
GUGUUGCACUUUCCAUUACCUUUCAUGAGCAAACUCAAUCAAACCGAGUCUGCUGUUUCUUUUGCUUGGUUGCAUUCUAUGCUUCCAAAGGAUUCUCUUACAGAUUUUAAUUAUAAAGAUCGAAAAUAAAUCACAGCCUCUAGUGUGUUUACGAUGUUUUUCUAUGAUUUCAACUAAUGAUAUUAAUUUUUGAUCCCAGAUAAUCUUGUUUCAAAAUUGAUGUAGAUUUUAUUAAGACUAAUAUUCUGGUCAGGUCUUAUAUAGAUCCAGUAGAGAAAAAAGGAAUCUCGAGCGUGAACAAGGCCUUUCUAUGAUCUGACCGAGUCACAUAAUGACCUAGUAUCAAACUUUGUCGAAAUAUUCUACACAAAAUUCUGACUAAGUUUCAUUACGACUAAAUUGCAAGCUCUAGAGUGUCAACAGUGUAAUUGUGAACGACGGAGUAAGACGGACAAAGACGAACAACGAACACGGCGUUACAACAAUAGCUCACUUUAAGCACUUUGUGCUCAGAUGUGCUAAAAUCUUGGGUGCAUAACUCUAGAUCUUGAAUAACAAUCGCUCAUAAUUUCAUGACGGUCGUUCAAUACGUAUUACAAAGUUUCUCUGACGUACAGACGGACGGACGAACAGACGAAGCCAAAUUUACAUCUUCACCGCAUCACCGUUCACGCAUUUUUCCUACUACAUAUAAUAUCAUAAAGUAAUCCCGUGAAGUCGAUCGUUAGUCAUAGGUGUUAACACUUCGCAAAUGUCUAUUACCCGGAGGUGGAAAUUAAGAAUUAAAGACAGUGCUCGUUAUGGAAUCAUGCAAAAGCUAGUAAGUGAUAAUGGAAGUCAAUUCAAAAGUUCAGUUUUUCGCGACUUUUGCUAAAAGAAAUGGAAUCUUGCACAAAACCACGACGACUUACAAACCUUCUACAAAUGGCCAGGCAGAAUAUUCUGUUCGUAGUUUAAAGUUUGCUUCGAAAUCAGCAGCACUUGACAAAGAGUUUUGAAAGUAGAAGCUGGCAAGUUUUCUACUAGCUUAUAUUAAUACUCCAUACAGCACCACGAAAGAAACACCAGCAAAAUUAUUCAUAGAACGACAUUUAAGAUCAAAACUAGAUUUUGUGAAACCAAGUGUGCAGGAAACAGUGAAAAUAAACAGUUCAAAAUAACUGAAAGUCAGAUUUCAAGCCCGGAGUAAUGGUCCGUGACUACAGACAUGGAAUAAAAUGGAUUCCGGCUACAAUUCAUAAUAAGAUUAGACCUCUGGUGUACAAAGUCAAUACAAAUGAACGUGGAAAUGGCGACGUCACGUUGACCAAAUUGUCAGCACAAACGGACAGGGGAACACAGAUGCAAUGGAAUUCAGAUCAACUAUAAUCAAAACUGAUUAUCAAACUGAUAUUUGUAAGGAUUAGAAACAAACAGUAGAAAUACCAGUUCCACAACUUCGACAAGAAACAACAACAACCACCGGAGAACCAAACUAAACCAGCUCCCACACCAAGAAGAUAUCCACUACGCGAAAACAGAAGACCACUAACGUAGGAAUGAUAUGAUGAAAUUUAUAUAAUGUGCUUUGUGUUUAAAAAAGCCAUAUUAUAUCUGAGAAGUGUUCGAUAGAUGAGUGUAAAGAACAGGCAUUCUAAAUUCUGAAUUGUAUUUACAAAUACGGCAGACUGUAUUUCAUACUUGUGAGACCAAUUCCUUGGAGCAAGCUGCACACGCUUACAAAAGCAGUCAAGUAUGAAUGAAAUUGCAGUAUCAUAUUACACUAUGGAAUGUAACCAUUGUACUUAAUUACUCUAUAGGACUGUUUUAUUGUAUCUAUAAAUAAUGUUCAAACGCGGUUUACUAUAAAUUAUUUUGAUUCUCAUAUGUCUUUUAUUGUAAAAUGGCCAUCAUGCUCCUUUGAUUAUACACGUCUUGAACAGAAAUGGUAAUACGUCUUGCGGAAUAGUUCUGUAAGGGCGCAAAUGAUUGCGAAUUAUUCUGCGCAGUGAAUAACCAACAGUUAAAAAAGAUUUAAUUAAGAUUUAAAUUAUUUACAAGCAUUAUACAUUGUUUUUUGUAUUGUCAGAUUUGAUAUGAAGCUAGGCAGUAUAAUGUGUGGUAUGAAAUAUGAAGAAAAUGGUACUUCUGGUUAAAACAAUGCAUCUGUUAGAGGCAACAAGACUUUGUUCAAGACGUGUCAAAUUUGAGUCAACCAAAAGACAUUCUGGCGACGGGGCGACUUUCUUAUUGAGAGGAACAAGAACUUUGAAUAAUCUGGCAAUGGCUCCUGUCUGUACUGACAUACCAGUUUAGACUCAAAGGUCAGAAAGUCUGGAGCAGACCGUCUGUAUUUGAAAUUGACAAGCAAGAUAUGGGGCUAAGCAGUGAAACCUUUGUCAAAACUUUCAACAAAAUAUAGACUAAACACAACAUGUUAGUCUGACGUUUGGCGUUGACGAUAACAGAGGUCUUAUUUGCUUAUCCGUUUGCUGUUUUGAUGCUGGAUGGUGCAACAUAGGAAGAUAGACUGUUUUGCGGAUUUCAUUAUAAAAUACAGAACAUGAUUAAAACGCUGUCUAGUUAAUAAAUUAAACUCACAGACUUCAGCAAAACUAGACAACAUAAAUUAUGCAACAUCAGUAAUGUUACCUACAAACUAUAAGAACCAUUGUCAAAUGUUAUUUAAUAAAAGCACAAUACUGUUGUGCAAUUAACUAAUAAUGUGUUGUUUUUAAAGUUGAAAUUGAUAACCUUUAAUCAAUCAUUAGUUAAACUGCGAAUUACGACAGCAGUGUUGGUACCUUCAGGCAUCCGUUUUCAACAGCGCACAAUAAAUGUUCAACAAUAACUCUGAAACACCAGACGUUCGGACGCUGAAGAGGAAAUAAACUCCAAAACAAGCAGGCACCACCAUUUAAAGUUCAUGUUGAAGAGACAAUACCGUACAUUUCUGUUAACCUGAAUUUUAAUGAAGCAUACAUAAAUAUGAAAAAUACAAAAGGCUCUGAAACAAUAUACACGAAGUGAUAACGUGAUAUUUUUCUAUUAUUAUACAUUAUGUUGAAUCAACACUAAGAAACACACAACAGAACUGUGGGAUAGUUGAAGUCUCACAAAUAAAUCUUACGGACAAAACCCCAUUGUUAAAGAGUCUUGCAACUCUUUGGACUCUCAUUCUAUAAACUGGACCUCUGUCAGAAUCUGGAACAUAAACAUUUAUGUAUGACGAAAUAUAGGACGCAUGGAUAAAAGUCAUAUAAAUACACAGACCAUAUAAAGGAUUGCACAGUCACUUUGGACAGUCAACACAAUGUCUCAGUAUCAUAUGAAAUAAGACGGUAUUCGGAAAACAUACUGAAUCGUAGAAGAUGACUAUUCUCCUUAUGUUUAGGUCUUUUCUAGCACAAGUGGUAACUAUCUUGGGAUAUCUUAGCCUUCAACAGAAUCAAGAAUAUUUUCCAAGAUAAUAUACCUAACAUUUUGAAAUGUUUUCUGUUUAACAUUUAUGACAACCGCCGUAUAUGUCACCAUACUAUGAAAAGUUCGUUACUUUACUUAUAUUAAUACGAGGUAACGGUAAUUUAGAAAUAUACAAGUAAACAGUUAAGGAAUAAUAAAAAGCUGUUUUAACCGUGCUGUUUUAAUGGGUUUGAAAGUUACAUGCUUAUCUAGUGCAAACGAUGGUUGUACGUAUGUUUCUCGAAGAAUAAA